rnacentral:rRNA from 1 species
UAGGGAAUAUUGCACAAUGGGGGAAACCCUGAUGCAGCGACGCCGCGUGAAGGAAGAAGUAUCUCGGUAUGUAAACUUCUAUCAGCAGGGAAGACAAUGACGGUACCUGACUAAGAAGCCCCGGCUAACUACGUGCCAGCAGCCGCGGUAAUACGUAGGGGGCAAGCGUUAUCCGGAAUUACUGGGUGUAAAGGGUGAGUAGGCGGCAUGGUAAGCCAGAUGUGAAAGCCUUGGGCUUAACCCGAGGAUUGCAUUUGGAACUAUCAAGCUAGAGUACAGGAGAGGAAAGCGGAAUUCCUAGUGUAGCGGUGAAAUGCGUAGAUAUUAGGAGGAACACCAGUGGCGAAGGCGGCUUACUGGACGGUAACUGACGUUGAGGCUCGAAAGCGUGGGGAGCAAACAGGAUUAGAUACCC